UAUUUCACACCGAAAUCCCACACACCCACGCACAUAUCUCACAAUCAGCAAAGACGGGAAAAGGGAUACAAGAACGCAGCAUGAACUGCCCGCAAUCAGAACCAAAAAAAUUCUCUCUCUCUCUUCUCAAGUGAUCAGGAACACUCUCAGAUAGGAUUGAGUUUGCUAUUUGCUAGAUACCUGUUGAUGCCUAUGUUCAGCUAACUUGAAAAGAGAGAGGAGUUCUACUUGUGAUGCUGCUGGCCUACUAGUUCAGGUCUUCCACUUGCUGAGGGGGAGACCCCAGAUGCUUGAGGGGAGUCCUUUUCAUCCUACUUGAUUUUAUUUGCGUGCAUUGGGGACAAUGCAACAUCUUUUUAGUAGGGUGGCUUAUUUAUUUAUGGUGAUAUUGUUGACGAAUCAUAUGGAUUUCGUAGAUUGACUCUUUGUUUUGAUUUUUUUUUUUAUUGUGUUUGUGACAUAUUUAUAUUAGUAUGAUAUGCUAGUUUUUUUUUUGUUUGUGUAUGCCCAUGUUUUGUCAUGUAUUAGCAAUAUCAUUGGCUUUUCUUGUAGUGGUUCUUUUCCCGAGGAUGCUAAUGUCUUUUGAUCCGGUGUUUUUAGGUAGUUUUGAGUUGGCUUGUCCCUACGAGAGAUAGUUGGGCACUUUCUUAAGGGAAAAAAGCCUUGCAGGUUAGGUGUAGUAGUGAGUUUUAGGUAGUUAGGAGUAAAAAUGGUGUUGGGAUGUGAGUUUUUGCUCCUUGGCUAAUUUUUGGCUUGUUUGGUACGAACUUAUUUAAACCUUGGUAUAUGAAUUCUUGGUUUUUGAAAAAUAAAAAGGAUUGAAGUAAGGAUUCUUGUUGUGACUUUUAGACUCAAUUUUUGGCUCUUAUGUUCACUAAUUAGUCUCUUUAGGCUAUGAGUGACUUUUUGAGUUCAUUUGUUUCAAUUGGAUCUUGGAUACAUAUUCUACUUGAGUUUUUAUGUGCCAUGUGUGGUAAGGCUUAUUUGUGAGUUCUUUUGCAAAUCUUGUGGUCUAGAACUUGCCCGGAAUGUGUUUCAAGGCGAAAUUCUAGGUUACACUUGGUUUGAAAAAUGAUGUUUGGCCUUCCUUGGAUCAUUUUGUGCCUUAAAUUUCCUACGCUUACAUAUUUUUCCUAGUCAACCCCUUUUGAGCCUUUAUCCUUUUCUUUGGCAACCAUGUUACAAGCUUUAACCUUUUGUUCUUUAUUGAUCUAUCUUUUGACCUCCUACCUCCUUUAGUGCUUUGAAGGUGUAAACAUAGGCUAAAAGCCUAAGUUUGGGGGUGAUGGCUGGAAAAGCCGUGAUGUGGAAGUUGCUUAAAAGGUGAAAGGGUAAAACAAAAAUAGAGAAAAGGAGUAAAAAGAAAAUGACAUCUUCCUUGUUAGCUUGAAAACAAACAAACAGACAAACGAAAAAAGGAAGAAUAAUAGUUGUGAAUAAAGGGAUGACUAGGUGGUGGAAUGAAAAAUGGAAGCAAAGGGUGGAUCUUUUUUCGAAAGGAAGUGUGUUUUGAUUGUUGCAAAUUGUAGUGCUUAGGGUGGUUUUGAGUCACUAGUUCCAAAUUAUGCCCUUACCUUAACCAAAAGCCUACAGUACAACCCUUUAAGUCCUAAUUGAUUUUGAACUCAGUGUGUCUACAUUAGUGGAGAAAUACAUGAAGGGUAAGCCUAUGGUACUACUUGUGUGCAUUGAACAUCUUUGUGUGUGAGAAAGAGAGAGACACAGAGUUAAUUCUUAUCAUUUGAUAUCCCAUUUGUAUUUUGAAUUUUAUUUUAUAAGUUUGGGAUUCUCUCUUGAUUGUGAGGGCACAUAAAAAUUUAAGUUGUGAAGUUGUUCCAUUUUUCAAUUGAGAGGGAUGAACAAAAGAAAGUUGUUUUGUGAUAAUGAGGCAAAUUUUGAAGCUUAGUGUCAUGACUUGAUUGCUACUUUGAUUAAGUUGGUGUUUAAACACUUGAAAUGAAAUGAAAUUUUUGAGAAGUUGGUGAUUCAUAUGUCUUGGAUUAAUUGUUGGCACCAAUCAAAGUCAUGUGUUUGUGCUUAAAGUGGACCUUUUUGACUUGGUAUGUUGGUGCACUAUUGAGCUUAAAUGUGGAUUCCUUUGAAGAAAAUUGUGAGUCUUGUAUUUGCUUGAGGACAAGCAAUAGUUUAAGUUUGAGGGUUUGAUAAGUUGGUAUUUUUACCAACUUAUCUCUUAUUUAUGCUUAGAUUUUUGUUAUGUUUAAUUGAGAAAAUAGUGCAUUUACUAUGGUUUACUUUAAUUUUAUAGAUUUACGUGAUUUAGAAGUGACCAGAAAGAAAUCUUGUGCCAAAAAGGGUCAAAUUGAAGAAAAUGAGAAAAUUGGCUAGAAGCGCAAAAAGUGGCUAAAAAGGCAAUCUGAAAAUCUGAAAUUUGAAGGCCAUUUUUGUCACUUUUUAUUGGGAAAUUUUUGGGAACUAUAAAAGCAACACUUUGAGAUUUUAUUAUCAUCUUUGGCCAGAGUUCCAAGCCUCGGAAGCUAGAGUUCUUCAACCAACACUUUGGAAGAGAAGAUUGGAGCACUUUAAUCAGCAAACUCUUAACCCUUUCUUCACUUCCUUGUUAUGUAUUGCAUAUUUAAGUGUGUUGUAUUUUAUUCUCUCACUUGAAUCUUGUUUAUGAGAAUAUUCAUUAUCAAGUGUUGAAUUAAAUCUCUUGUUUUGCUUAUGUAUUGAACAAUUUUUAUUGCUAAUGAAGUGGAUCUUUGUUUCUUUAAUUAA